CUAUAAACUAAAAAUGACUUUAUAUGACACUGUUUAAACUACUACAGCUGUGAUUCGUUUGACAAUCUGUUCGAAACAUUAUUUUUGACAUUAAUAAAUUUCUUCUCAUUUCAGAUGGUUCUAAACGAUUUCAAGAAAAAGUGUUGCGAAAAGAACCACCUUCUUCCAGUCUUGUCCAGCCAGAAAACGUCCGAUUGCUGGAAGUGACUCGAGUCGCCUGCAACGCAAUUUCAAGGCCAGUGUUUGGACUUGCUGCGUGUCAUUUGAGCAACUAAGAACACCACUGCACCUGAUAACCCUGACAAAAAUCUUAGACGAUGAGAAGGAGGUCCAUUCAAAGUUGGUGUGGCCCAGAUUUAUUUUCCAAGUUCGAAUACUAUUACCAUCAUCGGUGGGCUGGUUAGACGGGGUACAGGAUCUUAAUUUUUUAAAAUUCCAAAACACAAACCAAGGUUUGCAUCGCUUGAAUGAGAGGGUUGAACGGGUCUUUUAUAGUUUGCAUGAAUAAAAUAACAAACAUUAUUUAGUAUCCGCAAGUCAUUUUAUUGCCUUUUCUUUAGGGUAUUCAAAACAUCACAUUGCCAAAUUUCACUCGAGUUAACUAAAGAUAGUCCCCAAUAGACUGACAUGAAAAACCCACAGAGACCAGAACAUUAAUAUUAAA